GAUGAACGCUGGCGGCGUGCCUAAUACAUGCAUGUCGAGCGAACGGACGAGAAGCUUGCUUCUCCGAUGUUAGCGGCGGACGGGUGAGUAACACGUGGAUAACCUACCUAUAAGACUGGGAUAACUUCGGGAAACCGGAGCUAAUACCGGAUGAUAUUUUGAACCGCAUGGUUCAAAAGUGAAAGACGGUCUUGCUGUCACUUAUAGAUGGAUCCGCGCUGCAUUAGCUAGUUGGUAAGGUAACGGCUUACCAAGGCAACGAUGCAUAGCCGACCUGAGAGGGUGAUCGGCCACACUGGAACUGAGACACGGUCCAGACUCCUACGGGAGGCAGCAGUAGGGAAUCUUCCGCAAUGGGCGAAAGCCUGACGGAGCAACGCCGCGUGAGUGAUGAAGGUCUUCGGAUCGUAAAACUCUGUUAUUAGGGAAGAACAUAUGUGUAAGUAACUGUGCACAUCUUGACGGUACCUAAUCAGAAAGCCACGGCUAACUACGUG
rnacentral:rRNA from 1 species